ACGCUCGACACCUACGGGAGGUAGCAGUGGGGAAUAUUGCACAAUGGGGGAAACCCUGAUGCAGCGACGCCGCGUGAGGGAAGAAGUAUUUCGGUAUGUAAACUUCUAUCAGCAGGGAAGAAGAAAGUGACGGUACCUGACUAAGAAGCCCCGGCUAACUACGUGCCACAGCCGCGGUAAUCUGAGCGGGCUGGCAAGGC
rnacentral:rRNA from 1 species